CAUCUUUUAAAGUCGUUCUGUCAAAUCAUUUAAAUUAGUUUAAAGGGCAGUUCAUCCAAUUUCAGAAAAUACUGCUUGUGUCUUUUCCCACUGCUCCUGGAUUUUGAAAAGUUAUUGCUGAUGUCUCAGGGAAAGGAUUCCAAGUGCAGUGAGAGAGCAAGCAGCUCCCUGCACAAACACACAGCGCCGGUUCUGCAUGAGAAGCAGCGCUGAACUUCCUAGGAAGAGUAUUUUGAGCAGGUCCAGUUGAUAAGCACUCCAGAAUCAAUAUUUCAUGUUAUUCCACUAUACAAAUAUAACACUGAUAGCGGCAGCACUACAAGAGGCUGGAAACAAGUCAAUGUCACAGGCAGUUGGCAUUCAGGCUGCAUGUCCAGCAGGCAGCUCCUGCAGCUCUGGCUGUGCUUUGGGCAGGGCACCGUGUGAUGGAGUGGCAGCGCCAGCCAUGCUCACAGCACCUCUGGGACACUAAAGCAGAGUGCAGUUCUGGUGUAGAAACUGAGGACAGAAAAGUAAGUGCCUUGUUUUAAUGUGAUUUUUCAGGCAGCUCUAGUGGCGGGGAUUUUCUCUGGUUGUUGUUCAGGGGUUUUUUUAUUAAACCAUGUGAAAUUAUUUUAUGGUUCUUAGCAUGUGUAAGUGCUCAUGUUGUAUUUUAACUUCAAUGGGGAGAAAUCAGUCUUACUCUAUUGAAUAUACUUGUUAAAAAUUUGAAUAACUGUUUCAGAAGAAGCAGAAGUGAAUUAUAGUACUAAUCUCUUUGUGCUACAAAAAAAAAGUUUACAAGGCAGUUGCACUUCUUAUUCUUAAUUUACAUUGUUAACAAAGUUAUUGUGAGUCUGUUAUGGUAAAGUUGGCAUACCAUGUUAAAUAUUUGUAAGACAGCAAGAUAAUUGCUUUUUCUUGCUUUAAAAGUAGUACCUUUGAAACCUUAUUUUUUUU
rnacentral:lncRNA from 1 species